rnacentral:rRNA from 1 species
GAGACAGCAGCCGCCGCGGUAAUACGUAGGUCCCGAGCGUUGUCCGGAUUUAUUGGGCGUAAAGCGAGCGCAGGCGGUUAGAUAAGUCUGAAGUUAAAGGCUGUGGCUUAACCAUAGUAUGCUUUGGAAACUGUUUAACUUGAGUGCAGAAGGGGAGAGUGGAAUUCCAUGUGUAGCGGUGAAAUGCGUAGAUAUAUGGAGGAACACCGAUGGCGAAAGCGGCUCUCUGGUCUGUAACUGACGCUGAGGCUCGAAAGCGUGGGGAGCAAACAGGAUUAGAUACCCCAGUAGUCCCUGUCUCUUAUACC